GUAGAGCGAUGAUUGGUGGAUAGGAUAAACAUGUAAGGGGGCUAUCAGGAUUGGUUGCCGCCUUCUCCGCCGUGGGAGGGCCGGGCAGAGACGCUUCUCGUAGAGAGUUUUUCGGGUUAAAAUGUCUGGAGCCUUCUAUUCCCGCUACAGACUCCUGUGGAGACUUCCCGCCAGGUGUGCGUCACUUUACAUCUUUGGAAACCAGCUGUCUCUUAAGAAAAUUAUCCAGUCGUUCUCCACAGCUGUUCCCGCGGAAGCUCAGAGCCAAAUUGAAUGUGAAUUGAAACCACUCUCCUUGCCCCCAGGUUUCUGGGAUACUGCUGUUACCCCGUCCUACAGAUGAGCAAACAGAAGCAUAAGGAGGCAAGUACAGUGACUGGCUCAAGGCUGUCUACCCGGUUAGUGGGUAGAAGCCAAACCGAGGCCAGCUGGCCGCAGAGCCUGCCCUAGGCCACUGCCUCUCUCCAUGGCGACAGGCACUCGCGGUGCCUUCGUCUCUGUAGCACCAACCACAGGUGCAGGUUUACCUUUGCUUUGUGGCAUGUUUAUAUCCCUGAAGGGACUGUAGGCUCAGUGAGUGUGAAAACAUGUUUGUUUUUGCUCUCCUGGUAGCCUCAGCAGUUCUGGGCACACAGGAGGAGUUGAAUAAAUGCUUGGAUGAGCAAAUACAAAUGAAUGGUGGCUAUGGGCCUGGAUUGCUAGGUGCUUCCAAAUGUCAGCCAGACAUGCUUUACAUGAUCUAGUUCUCAGGACAAACUGCUGAGGCAACUCUAUCUUCAUUUUUCAGUGGAGGAAACGUAGGUCUAAAGAGGCCAAGGGACCUGCCCAAGGCCAGGUCUGAGGCAGGGUGUGAGUCCACAUGGUCUGACGUCAGAGCUCCGCUCUCUGCACAUCACCAUGUUACCUCUUCUUGCCCUUUCUACCCUCCUUUCUUUCCCUUCUCCUAACAUUUUUCAUCCUUCUCUUC